rnacentral:rRNA from 1 species
CCUAAGGUAGCGAAAUUCCUUGUCAGGUAAGUUCUGACCCGCACGAAUGGCGUAACGAUUUGGGCACUGUCUCAACAGCCUACCCGGCGAAAUUGUAGUACCGGUGAAGAUGCCGGUUACCCGCAACUAGACGGAAAGACCCCAUGGAGCUUUACUGCAGCUUAAUACUGAGAUUCGGUAAUUCAUGUACAGGAUAGGUGGGAGACUUAGAAGCAGAGUCGUUAGGCGCUGUGGAGUCACCCUUGGGAUACCACCCUUGGAUUGCUGGGUUUCUAACCUGCGGCCAUGAAUCUGGUCGGGGGACACUGUUAGGCGGGCAGUUUGACUGGGGCGGUCGCCUCCUAAAGUGUAGCGGAGGCGCUCAAAGCUUGGCUCAGCAUGGAUGGAAAUCAUGCAAUGAGUGUAAACGUAUAAGCCAAGUUGACUGCGAGACCGACGGGUCGAGCAGGUACGAAAGUAGGAGUUAGUGAUCCGGUGGUAUGUGAGUGGAAAUGCCAUCGCUCAACGGAUAAAAGCUACCCUGGGGAUAACAGGCUGAUCUCCCCCAAGCGUCCACAGCGACGGGGAGGUUUGGCACCUCGAUGUCGGCUCGUCGCAUCCUGGGGCUGUAUUCGGUCCCAAGGGUUUGGCUGUUCGCCAAUUAAAGCGGCACGCGAGCUGGGUUCAGAACGUCGUGAGACAGUUCGGUCCCUAUCUGUUGCGGGCGUAAGAGAUUUGAAGGGAGCUGUCCUUAGUACGAGAGGACCGGGAUGGACUGACCGCUGGUGCACCAGUUGUUCUGCCAAGAGCAUAGCUGGGUAGCUACGUCGGGACGAGAUAAACGCUGAAGGCAUCUAAGCGUGAAACUCCCCCUAAGAUAAGAUCUCUCAUCCUUUAUGGAGUAAGGCUCGUCGUAGACUAUGACGUUGAUAGGUCAGAGGUGGAAGCGCCGUAAGGUGUGUAGCUGACUGAUACUAAUAAGCCGAGGGCUUGACCUA